rnacentral:rRNA from 2 species
AACUUUCAACAACGGAUCUCUUGGCUCUCGCAUCGAUGAAGAACGCAGCGAAAUGCGAUAAGUAAUGUGAAUUGCAGAUUUUCAGUGAAUCAUCGAAUCUUUGAACGCACCUUGCGCUCCUUGGUAUUCCGAGGAGCAUGCCUGUUU